GAUGAAGAAGCAGCGAAAUGCGAUAAGUAAUGUGAAUUGCAGAAUUCAGUGAAUCAUCGAAUCUUUGAACGCACAUUGCGCCCGCUAGUAUUCUGGCGGGCAUGCCUGUCCGAGCGUCAUUUCAACCCUCAAGCCCCCGGGCUUGGUGUUGGGGAUCGGCGAGCCUCCGCGCCCGCCGUCCCCUAAAUCUAGUGGCGGUCUCGCUGUAGCUUCCUCUGCGUAGUAGCACACCUCGCACUGGGAAACAGCGCGGCCACGCCGUUAAACCCCCAACUUCUGAACGUUUGACCUCGGAUCAGGUAGGAAUACCCGCUGAACUUAAGCAUAUCAAUAAGCGGAGGA
rnacentral:misc_RNA from 1 species